UUUCCGUAGGUGAACCUGCGGAAGGAUCAUUCACAAUAAGUGUUUUAUGUCACUUUUUCAACAAUCCAUAUCCAGUUUGUGUGCUACGUUAUGCUACCCUCUUUCGUUAUCUUUUAUGUUACGGUCGCGGGAACCUCCCCAACUUACCAACAUCUCUUUUAACUUAUUUGUCUGAACAUUUGUUAUCACGAAUUUUCUUAAUUCGACAAUACAACUUUCAACAACGGAUCUCUUGGCUCUC
rnacentral:misc_RNA from 1 species